CGGGUAGUCAUUUCUUUAAUAGCAAUCAAAAUGUUUCCACACGCAGAAAAGCUUUCACCUUUUAAAGAAUAUUUUCCUUUGCUAAUCUAGGUGACCAGCUAACCUUCAUCCUGGGGAAACCACUGGCGGUGGCAGGGACUGGCUGCAGGAGAAGCACGUUUGUGGGUGAGGGUCGGGCUGGGCAGCUCUUUGCAGAGGAGAGUUCCUAUGGAAUAUAUGCAUCACAGCUACUUAAAAGUUGGACAGUAAGAGCAGAAAUGUCAACUAAAGGACAUUAUUCAGUACGAAACAUCUGCACCAAGUUGUGGAAUCAUGCAGAUGGUGUUCAAACAAAUCAAGAAGCUGAAGCUAAAAAACCACCCUGAUGGAGAAACUCAU
rnacentral:lncRNA from 1 species